rnacentral:rRNA from 1 species
ACUCCUACGGGAGGCAGCAGUGAGGAAUAUUGGUCAAUGGAGGGAACUCUGAACCAGCCAUCCCGCGUGUAGGAAGACGGCCUUAUGGGUUGUAAACUACUUUUAUACAGGAAGAAACGUACCCUCGUGAGGGUGCCUGACGGUACUGUAGGAAUAAGCACCGGCUAACUCCGUGCCAGCAGCCGCGGUAAUACGGAGGGUGCAAGCGUUACUCGGAAUCACUGGGCGUAAAGAGCGUGUAGGCGGGUUAUUAAGUCAGAAGUGAAAUCCUAUGGCUCAACC